rnacentral:rRNA from 1 species
ACGUAGGGUGCGAGCGUUAAUCGGAAUUACUGGGCGUAAAGCGUGUGCAGGCGGUUCGUUAAGACAGGUGUGAAAUCCCCGGGCUUAACCUCGGAACUGCGCUUGUGACUGGCGGGCUAGAGUGCGGCAGAGGGGGGUGGAAUUUCAGGUGUAGCGGUGAAAUGCGUAGAGAUGUGGAGGAACACCGAUGGCGAAGGCAGCCCCCUGGACAGAUACUGACGCUCU